UGUGUUUGAUUUUCUUUUUAUUUAUUUAUCAUGUGACCUUUAUUGUUACAAGACAAUCAGGAAAUACACAUUAAAGUAUGCUGACUUAAAAAAUAAAAUGAAAACAUUGUGAGGCCCUUCAGAGGCGUGAGGAACAUGUUUUUUAUGUAUU